rnacentral:lncRNA from 1 species
UGUCGGCCUGUUUUGGGGGAAAUUGGAUACCCUCUCUUUUUCUCUUUUCACAUCCUCUCUCUUCUCCUCUUCAAUAAUAGAUGUAAGGCCUACUCCUCCCUUUCUUCUAUGGAUUUUGGUAUCGACGACGGAGAUGAAGAUGGAUGACGGGGUUGAAUACAAGAAGUUUGAAGACGUCGGGAUGAAUCCCAUGGUUCAAUGACCCUUUCUACUCACCACCGCUGCCGACAAUGACGAUCCUGACACCCGCUCUCUCUUGCAAUCAAAGGAAGAAGACCAAUCAUCUCUACCUACACUUAGCUUCUCUCUUUCCCUGGUUCGUAUUCUUUCUUCCCGGCAUCUUUGAUCGACGGGAUUCAAAUUUUUUUCCCUCUAAUCAAUCCCAGUUUCAUAAUUUCAGUGCCCUAGUUUUUCCCGGCGAAGAUAAGGUGUUCGAAGACAAUGAGUUCGAGGAGACGAACGGUGGAGGGAACAUACCUACGACGAUGUUGCCUCCUCCGUGAUGACCCUGGUAUUCUCUACGAUUAGAGUGUUGUUGGAUGCUUGAAAGUCUUCCUCCACAGUCAAAGUAUGUCCUUCUUUCAUAGUCAAAACGUAAUUUGAAUAUGGAUUUAGGACAAUGAACUUGUUUCAUUUUUGAAUUGGCUGCUCAGUUUAGGGUUCGGUUUGGGGUUUGGUCUUAGUGUUUAAUCUGCAAUCUCCUUCUUUGUAUUUAGUAGCUGAUAUAAGUUUGUGGCUGCCAAUUUCUAUAUUCAAUAUUGUCUCUGUUAUUAAGAAAUUGAAGUCUGUGGCUUAUUGGGGAUGAAUAUUUUUCAUGUCUGGGUUCAUAUGCAUUGAAUUUUGGUGAUAAACUUGUGGAAACUGGGUGUUUUUUACUUGUUGAUGGAAAUAUUAUGAAGGUCAAGCUUAGGUAUCAUAUAUCCUGAAGGCUUUUGUUUAGAUGAUAGCUACUCUGUUUAUCUCUUGUUUCAUCAUUUUAAUCAUCAGGUUUCCCUGCUUCCAAAACUUUAUUCAUAUACUAGUGUUGAUUUCUAGUCGUUCAGGAGCUCCUGUUUGACAUGGUGUUGUUACGAAGGCUCUUUCGUCAGAAGAUGUUGAGGUGGCUGCUGCAUUUUCGGGGGCUGCUUCUAUUUGUGAUCUCAAUUUUUACCCCUGCUGCUUCUGUUCAUUCAGUUAAAGUUUGUUUUGCUGCAUUCUUUUCUGUGAUGCAGUUGUAAUGUUUAUGGGUUGAUGCUGAUGCAAUUUUGAUAGGUGUUGCCCCAAAAAUUUUCUUUUUACUGUCUUGGAUUGGUUCCUUGUAACUUGUUUUUCUUCCAGCAAGGUGUUGCUUGGUCUUGCUUGUUUGUAUAUAUUUGUACAAUGUUAACUACAAGAAAUCUGUCACAUGUCGUCGGUCGAAAGUCGGAUUUGCGGUCGGUCAUCAACCGACGACAUAAUAUUUCACAUCAGUCGAUAAAACGACAACGACGCUAAAUAAUUUACCAUUGGUUAAAAGUCGGGCGACGGAAAAUACUGACGUCGAUCUGGUCAACGUAUCUUGACCGUAACUUAACGUCGGUUGGAAGUGACGGC